AACGAACGCUGGCGGCAGGCCUAACACAUGCAAGUCGAGCGCGCCCUUCGGGGUGAGCGGCGGACGGGUGAGUAACGCGUGGGAACGUGCCCUUUUCUACGGAAUAGCCUCGGGAAACUGAGGGUAAUACCGUAUACGCCCUUUGGGGGAAAGAUUUAUCGGAAAAGGAUCGGCCCGCGUUGGAUUAGGUAGUUGGUGGGGUAAUGGCCUACCAAGCCGACGAUCCAUAGCUGGUUUGAGAGGAUGAUCAGCCACACUGGGACUGAGACACGGCCCAGACUCCUACGGGAGGCAGCAGUGGGGAAUCUUAGACAAUGGGGGCAACCCUGAUCUAACCAUGCCGCGUGAGUGAUGAAGGCCUUAGGGUUGUAAAGCUCUUUCAGCUGGGAAGAUAAUGACGGUACCAGCAGAAGAAGCCCCGGCUAACUCCGUG
rnacentral:rRNA from 1 species